rnacentral:tRNA from 1 species
GCCGAUAUGGUGGAAUGGCAGACACGCAAGAUUUAGGAUCUUGUACCUUUGGUAUGUGGGUUCGAGUCCCACUAUCGGCA